GUCGAGCGAAUUUAAAGGAGCUUGCUCCUUUAAAUUAGCGGCGGACGGGUGAGUAACACGUGGGCAACCUGCCUGUAAGACUGGGAUAACUUCGGGAAACCGGAGCUAAUACCGGAUAAUAUUUAAGACCACAUGGUCUUAAAUUGAAAGAUGGCUUCGGCUAUCACUUACAGAUGGGCCCGCGGCGCAUUAGCUAGUUGGUGAGGUAAUGGCUCACCAAGGCAACGAUGCGUAGCCGACCUGAGAGGGUGAUCGGCCACACUGGGACUGAGACACGGCCCAGACUCCUACGGGAGGCAGCAGUAGGGAAUCUUCCGCAAUGGACGAAAGUCUGACGGAGCAACGCCGCGUGAGCGAUGAAGGCCUUCGGGUCGUAAAGCUCUGUUGUUAGGGAAGAACAAGUAUCGUUCGAAUAGGGCGGUACCUUGACGGUACCUAACCAGAAAGCCACGGCUAACUACGUGCCAGCAGCCGCGGUAAUACGUAGGUGGCAAGCGUUAUCCGGAAUUAUUGGGCGUAAAGCGCUCGCAGGCGGUCCUUUAAGUCUGAUGUGAAAGCCCACGGCUCAACCGUGGAGGGUCAUUGGAAACUGGGGGACUUGAGUGCAGAAGAGGAGAGCGGAAUUCCACGUGUAGCGGUGAAAUGCGUAGAGAUGUGGAGGAACACCAGUGGCGAAGGCGGCUCUCUGGUCUGUAACUGACGCUGAGGAGCGAAAGCGUGGGGAGCGAACAGGAUUAGAUACCCUGGUAGUCCACGCCGUAAACGAUGAGUGCUAAGUGUUAGAGGGUUUCCGCCCUUUAGUGCUGCAGCAAACGCAUUAAGCACUCCGCCUGGGGAGUACGGUCGCAAGACUGAAACUCAAAGGAAUUGACGGGGGCCCGCACAAGCGGUGGAGCAUGUGGUUUAAUUCGAAGCAACGC
rnacentral:rRNA from 1 species